rnacentral:lncRNA from 1 species
GUGCUGUAGCUCCUGCGCUGUGUGCACCUGUAGGCAAGGUGAUGCCGUGUGCAAACCCUAUCCCCACAGCCAAGCAGUUUCUCACCAGCCUGUACCCGUCACUCUGGGUUGCCAUGUUACAUAGACUCCGUUGGAUAUGUUGCAAAGGGAGGAGAGAGCAAAGCCGCCCGGCCAGCGUCAGGCGCGGGGCUAGGGCGCCCGCACAGAGGAGCAGCGCGCCGCCGGGGCCCCCUCCUUCCCCUCCCGGAGAGGUCGGAGCAGGGGGUCCGAGGCGCCCCAAGCGCGGCUACGCCCCCUCCCCCCCCCACCCAAGGGCAGGAGACGCGCGAUGGGAAGGGCGGGGUCCAACCGGCUGCCGGGGCCGGACCCGAAGCGCAGGCCCGGGGGGGGGCACUUCCAGCCCUGGGAGAUAUCCCCCCACCGCCUCGCGAGAGUGGAUGGGGAAGGGGCUGCGCCAAGGGGGACUGAGAUCGCCAAGGGGGAGUCCACAACAUCUAGGAUUCGUAGUUGGAGAAAAAAACUGGGUGAGUGGUGGCGCCUUUUAGCUUUAAAAAGGCAGCCACUGAGUGGAAUCUUUACCGGUGGGGGCAAAAAGCCCUUUUUCCUCCUGCGGCCCCGUUUUUUGUCUCAGCACCCCCUGGCUGGCUGCUGUUGCCAGCCGGGCUGAUGGACCCCAGGCGGCCCAUCUCGGACAUCGAGCCCAGCAGCGCCCCACCGCCCCACCGGCCAGGCCAGGCGCCUUCUCCCUGGCGGCUCUCCUGCAGGUGUCUCCUUGGGUGCUGCGCGGGAUUAAAGGAGAACCUGCCUGGCGGGCGGGCAGCCAGCGCAGCGUGAGAGCCCAAGGGCAGCGGGGGUGGUCGUGGGAGAAACCCUGGGGUGCCCGGAGGUGGGUGGGUGGCUCUCCCACGGAGGUCGCCAGCCCAGGAAGGCGUGCAGCUGGCGCAGCGUGCAGCUGGCGCAUGGUUUCCUCUUUGAUAGAAUAGAUGCUUGUGGUUAAAAAAGGAAAGAGAUGGAAAAAGCAGCGGGAAAGCUGGGAAGGGUUCAAAACAGGAGGUGAGAACACACCCCUGGCAGAGAAAUCCUGCCGGCUGGGACUUACCCUGAUGAAGCAGGAGCAGCAGCAAGAGAAGAUCCGGGCAGGGCAUCCUCCUCCACGGGCAAGACCAAGAAAGGAGGGCUCCCAGCAGGGCGGGCGAGCCGAGCCCAGCCGCUCGCCUGUGGUGUGGCACCAACUGGGGCUGUCCGGUCCUGUGGGAGGGUCCUGUGCCCGGAGGGGAACACCGAGGGGCUUCCAGAGAGCUGCGAAGGGCCUCGGGCCACCCUCUCGACCUGUCCGGGGAGAAGAAACAGUUUUCCUGUCCUGCUCUUACUUUUUGUUUUCUGUGCUGAACUUUUGGCCAUAAGUCUGGGAGUGCCAACAUUUACUAGAGAUGAACAAACGGGUAAUAUUUAUGGAUUUGGAGAUAGCUGUGCCAGGUGUUUGAAACAUACCAACUGGGAAAAGUACACUGAGGCAGUUGGCUAGGUGAUGAAUUUGGCAGGAUGGCCUAAUGGGGAGAGGUCAUGAAGAUCCUUUGCCCAGGAAGGCCAGACGGCAGUUUGGGAACAGACAGUGGAGAAUGGAAAAAUGGUUUUCAAAAAAGUAGCCGUGUUUAUCUCAGCCAAACUAUGGGGGUAGAAGAAGGGGAAACAGGAUCCCACUUUGAAGACUUUCCCCCAGCAUUUCCCCCUAGAAUAAACAGGUGUGUUCCAUGAAACA